CUACGGGUCGCACCAGUGAGGAAUAUUGCACAAUGGGGGGAACCCUGAUGCAGCAACGCCGCGUGGAGGAUGACGCAUUUCGGUGUGUAAACUCCUUUUAUAUGUCAAGAAAAUGACGGUAGCAUAUGAAUAAGCACCGGCUAACUCCGUGCCAGCAGCCGCGGUAAUACGGAGGGUGCAAGCGUUACUCGGAAUCACUGGGCGUAAAGGACGCGUAGGCGGGUUGGAAAGUCAGGUGUGAAAUCCUACAGCUUAACUGUAGAACUGCACUUGAAACUUCUAAUCUAGAGUAUGGGAGGGGGAGGUGGAAUUAGUGGUGUAGGGGUAAAAUCCGUAGAUAUCACUAGGAAUACCUAAAGCGAAGGCGAUCUCCUGGAACAUUACUGACGCUAAGGCGUGAAAGCGUGGGGAGCAAACAGGAUUAGAUACCCUAUAGUC
rnacentral:rRNA from 1 species